ACAUAGAGUAAGUAUAUAUAGAGGAGAAACUGAGGUACUAAACUCUGAAACAGUAAUUUAGUUCCACCAACACCUUCCAGAGACCGCUCGCAUCGCUGAUUUUCUGUUUACCUCGAGAAUUAUUUACUUAACCUCAAAAAUUUUCAGUUGAUCCGUCGAACCUUAUUUUUGUAAACGUCAUCGUUUUCGAAUGAAGAGAAGCAGCCAACAAUUUUCAAACUUUGGCUCGAAAAAGUUAGUUAUCCAUUGCUCAACUCUAAAACUCCUCAACAAAUUUGUAAGAAGUGAAAUUAGAUAGCCUUAAAGGAAUUUGACAACUGCUAUCCCUGAAUUAUUUCUUCCUGGAUCUUCAAAUCAAGGGGAAGAUGGAGAAGUUCAUGACACUGAAGGAAUACAUCUCCAAAGUGAUGUUGAGAGGGAAGUAUCAACAGAGACUUUGAAGAAUUUUAAGCACCCUCAGAAAACUUCAAUAAUAUAUAGAAAAAGAUAUCGAGGACAACAAUUAAUUGACACUAGAGGCUGUGGGCACUGCAGAGCUGAUGAUUUUUAUGGAUAAGCUGUUUGAUAGCCUGAAUAUGCAAUUGUGAAGGACACAUUAAAAAUUUGGCAUACUAGAAAUAUUUAAAAAAAUGUAAAAUUUUAAAUAGAUGAUUUUUUUAUAUGAA